rnacentral:siRNA from 1 species
AAACGACCACAUACGAAGUUGAUG